rnacentral:rRNA from 1 species
UGGUGGAGUGAUUUGUCUGCUCAAUUGCGUUAACGAACGAGACCUCAACCUACUUACUAGACGAAUGAAUAUACCUUCAUUCGCUCUUCUUAGAGGGACUGUGCGGAGACAAACGCAAGGAAGUUUGAGGCAAUAACA